rnacentral:rRNA from 1 species
AUACGGAGGGGGCUAGCGUUGUUCGGAAUUACUGGGCGUAAAGCGUACGUAGGCGGACUGAUCAGUUGGGGGUGAAAUCCCAGGGCUUAACCCUGGAACUGCCUUCAAUACUGUCAGUCUUGAGUCCGGAAGAGGUGAGUGGAAUUCCUGGUGUAGAGGUGAAAUUCAUAGAUAUCAGGAGGAACACCAGUGGCGAAGGCGGCUCACUGGUCCAUUACUGACGCUGAGGUACGAAAGCGUGGGGAGCAAACAGGAUUAGAAACCCUAGUAGUCC